UGUAGAAGUUUUAGGGGAAUCUAGCUGUUCCAGAUUAGCCGAGAAGUUACCAUGUAAGUUGAUUAUCCAAACUAAAGCUCUUUCUCCUAAACCCUCAAAGCUCUUCUGCAUUUUAUUUUAUUUUAUUUUAUUUAUUUAUUUAUUUUGGAAAAGGAGCAGCUAAAUUAGAUUAUCAUAAGGAAGUAGUAAAUCAUACAGACCAAGUUUAAGACAAAAGAGAGGUGAAGCAUCACCCUAGAUAGUUAUGCCACGCAGGGCCAAAUAUAAAAUUAGAGAUCCUACUGUUAAUGUUAGUGCUAAGUUAAGUUUACUGACAAAAGACAGCUUAAAAAAUAUUCACCCAAUUCUGGUCCGGGUGUUUCCAUGCUUUAGAGGGAGUUAGAAUCCUUUUUUAUAUUUUAUGAUGGUUCACGAGCAAAAGACGUGAUUAUAUAAGUUUAAAAGGUUUUGAUUUAUUGAAAAGCUGAUAGAUGCAGUGAUGCAAUUAUCUAGAACUCUAGAAGAAAGACGAACAAAUAAUAGCCAAAUUACUUCUGAUCUUUGUAACCUUCUUUACAGCAGUAUGUACGGUCUCAUUUUAUUAAUGAUUCCUCAUUGGUCAUACAGACUCCCAGAUUUUAGCAAGCAUGUUAAUAACUGUGCUCUCACUCUCUCCAAGCUGAUUACUGAACACAAAAUUUACAUUUGCAUUGCCAUGUAGAAUUUGCAAGGAAUGAUGAUGAUUUUUUUGGGUAAAUUUUGUUAGGCCAGCAAGAGUAUUGGAGAUUCGGGGAUAGCCAUCAGGACUAUAAAGUGUGUGCACUGAGGCAACGUUCAUUUUAUCUCUACAAAGAAAUGUCACCUAUGCAAGUAGAGACAGUUAUAGGGACAAAAAAUUAUUGGAGUGGAUGACUCUACGUUUAGUGGGGUAGACCUUGCAGCUAUUAUAAGAAACAAUUAUGGAAGGUCCUAUGAUGUGCAACUCAUAAACAAGGAGUUUAUGGGGAGAAACCUUCUUGCAAUGAAUGUCAUGCGGAAAAUAUAGGGAGGAGCAGAGAUCAUUUCCGUUAACUGAAGAAGAGUACAUAUUGAGGCUCGAUGAUGUGGCAAACAAUUUGAGAUGUUGGGUUGCUGUCUCACAUAUCCGAAGCAGCCUUGCAAAGUCAAAAGGAGCGGCCACAAAUUGGAAAGGCUGUAAGCAUAUUCAUAGACAUGGAUGAAUCUGGCGCUCGGUCAAAUGAAUGGAUCUACAAAUGAGUUUUUGUAAGAAUUGUAACUUACAAGUCAGGCAUUGGAUUGACCCUUUUUUUGUGGAAAGAAAUAGCUCUCAGAGGAAACGAGGUCGAGAUGAUGAAGUUACAUGUUCACCUUGUUUAGCUGCAAAAUCUUUGAUCUAAUAGUGUGUUACAUAUAGCAUAUACAUGUAUAUGGGAUUUGUAAUGUCAAUUGAAAUAUGUUUAAAAACUAUUGGAUUACAGCAUUCCAUGUUAAUCAUUAUGGCACUCAAUUUUCACCCUCAUUUGGGAACCAAAUCUUGAACCUUUAUACAAUCAAUCUUUUGGACAGAUUAUAAUCA